rnacentral:lncRNA from 1 species
UCCCUGUUGCUUUGGUAACCCACCCCCCUUUCCUCACAUCACUACUGCUGGGGUAUUUUGCUGCCAAGAUAAUGGUCUCUAUUAUGGAUUGGAUGUUAAUGGGCAGUCCUUUACCCCAGACUACACCCAGCCCCUUCUGCAGCUCCACAUUUGAAGGCCUUGUCUAAGUGGCAUCUCAAUGAGAUGGUAAUAGAUACUUGAAUCAGAUGGAGAGGAGCUGUAGUGAUGGGGGUGGGAGGGGAUAGAAGAAGCGUUCAGCUUCUAAUAUUGAAAAGGGAGGACUGGGAACUUGGAGAGGCAAAAAUGAGGAAAUCAUCCAUUAGAGUGCCUCAGCUGUGUAUGAAGUCCUAAAGCCAUUUCUUCCAGUCAAUAAAAGUCAAACCUGAUACAGCAAGAAUCAGGGGCAAGUUCAGGCAUCAGCCCCAGAGCAGGCAUGGAAGUCAUCCAACAGCUGCUGGAGGGACUGUGCAGAGUUACGACGGAGACAGUGACUCCUCCAAAGGGGUCUCGAGGGUAAAGCAUCUUGAUGUCUUUAUCUGCAGGGUCUUUUCAAGCCCAAAGCAGUGGUUCUCAAUCCUGAGCUCAUUCUAGUCAUCUCCGAGAAUAAACAUGUGCAAUUGUC